rnacentral:rRNA from 1 species
UAAACCUGCCUCUUAGCGGGGGAUAACUAUUGGAAACGAUAGCUAAUACCGCAUAAAAGUCGACAUUGCAUGAUGUUGACUUGAAAGGUGCAAUUGCAUCACUAAGAGAUGGACCUGCGUUGUAUUAGCUGGUUGGUGAGGUAACGGCUCACCAAGGCGACGAUACAUAGCCGACCUGAGAGGGUGAUCGGCCACACUGGGACUGAGACACGGCCCAG